GAUGAACGCUAGCGGCAGGCCUAAUACAUGCAAGUCGAACGGGUGGUCGCAAGACCCCUAGUGGCGCACGGGUGCGUAACGCGUAACCAACCUGCCCCGAUCUGGGGGAUAGCCCGCCGAAAGGCGGAUUAAUACCGCAUAUACCCGCAGCCUGGCAUCAGGCAACGGGGAAAGAUUUAUUGGAUCGGGAUGGGGUUGCGUGACAUUAGCUAGUUGGCGGGGUAAGGGCCCACCAAGGCGACGAUGUCUAGGGGACCUGAGAGGGUGAUCCCCCACACUGGCACUGAGAUACGGGCCAGACUCCUACGGGAGGCAGCAGUAGGGAAUAUUGGGCAAUGGGCGAGAGCCUGACCCAGCCAUGCCGCGUGCCGGAUGAAGGCCUUCUGGGUUGUAAACGGCUUUUCUCAGGGAAGAAAAAGACCUUGCGAGGUACACUGACGGUACCUGAGGAAUAAGCACCGGCUAACUCCGUG
rnacentral:rRNA from 1 species